rnacentral:tRNA from 1 species
GGAACUAUAAUUUAACGGUUAGAAUAAUACUUUGAUAAGGUAUAAAUAUAGGUUCGAUUCCUGUUAGUUUCA